GAUGAACGCUGGCGGCGUGCCUAACACAUGCAAGUCGAACGACGAAACCGCCCUCGGGCGGACAUGAAGUGGCGAACGGGUGAGUAACACGUGACCGACCUGCCCCCCGCCCAGGGACAGCCCCCCGAAAGGGGGAGUAAUACCUGGUAAUCCGGAAGCGGCGCAUGCCGCCCCCGGGAAGGCGCUGGCGGCGGGGGAUGGGGUCGCGGCCCAUCAGGUAGACGGCGGGGCAACGGCCCACCGUGCCGACGACGGGUAGCCGGGUUGAGAGACCGACCGGCCACAUUGGGACUGAGAUACGGCCCAGACUCCUACGGGAGGCAGCAGUGGGGAAUUUUGCGCAAUGGGGGCAACCCUGACGCAGCAACGCCGCGUGCGGGACGAAGGCGUCCGCGUCGUAAACCGCUUUCAGCGGGGAACACUCUUCGAGGGUACCCGCAGAAGAAGCCCCGGCUAAAUACGUGCCAGCCGCCGCCGUAA
rnacentral:rRNA from 1 species